UUACACUACUGGUGUGCAACGUGCUCUUAUCUGUGUUACUGGAGGACACCCUCAAGAUACCUCACUCCAGUUGACUCCUUGGCUCUAAAUCUUUGAGUUAAAAAAUAAGGAGGUUCUUUAUGGAAUAAACAGGUAUUAAGCUAUUUAAAGGAGAGGGCUGCGAAAUGCUUGAUUAUGGGCUUUUCAAGUUCAGAGGCCAAGCGUUUGUCAUUUUCUUCCAGUAACUAGGACUGUGUCUUGCCCCUAAUAGUUACUCAGACUAUAUUUGCUUAAUUGAAUUAAACACAGUUGCCUAUGCCCUUUGAAAUUCUGGACUUUCAACAGAGGGCCUCUAGCCCAAUAUUUGCUUACCAAACUGGACAUCAUUGAUGAUCUGGAUUCAGGCAGGGUCUGGAAAAAGAGAGACUGGGCCAAAUUAAAAUAAUCCAUUCACUGAUGACACAAAACUAAACUACAAUUGUUUGGCACCCUCUCUUCUCCUUAUCUUGCAAAAUCAAAUUAAGCACUAGUGGAAAGAAACAGUUCAGAGAGGAAUAUGGGAAAGGAAAAAAAAAAACCAAAAUGUGAUUUCCAACGAGACUAGAGAUUUGUUCUUUAUCUACAUGGUCAUGUUACUCAUUUGAUAGCAUCUAUCUCAGGGGUAUUAUGUUAUCUCUUGGCCAGGACUCAUGAAAGUUAAGAUUUGCAUUGAUAGGAAAAGUUUUGCAGAAAUAUGGACUCUUGAGAGGGUGGGAGGUAUAUAAAAGCAGCAGAGCAAUUUGCAUUUCUUAUACACCCUGCUUGAGACUGAUGUCAUUAGUGUUGGUUAGGCCAAGGCUGGGGGAGGCUACUCAGAAUAGUGGGUGACCAAUUACCCAGAACCUUUGGAAAAGGAAAUGACUUGAUUGAAGAGGCCAUUCUUUAAAUGUAUCUUACUGCUCAAUUUCACCAUUGCCUAUUGUAGAAUGCGCCCUGCCCGCUCAGCAUUUGCCUCUAGGCAGACCAGGACUCCUUCCCCUCCCCAACUAAUCUUCCUUCUCCUGUAUCUUAUUCCCUAGGGCCACUUGCACCUUUCAAAAUGGAUAAAUUAAAUUCCCCUGCUCCCCUUCUACCAACUUUAACAUCAUAUCCUUGGUGUAUGAUGCCCUACUUUUCAUUGUUUUGCCUAAAUAAGAGUAUGCUUGGGAAUUUUAGGCUUAGGGCUGGGAAAAGAUGGGAUAUGGAAUCGUCAGCUAUAGAUUGCCGGACAAGAAAUUUUAGGAGCAGUAGACCUUUCAACCGCCCUCAAUAGGAUGGAACUGACUGUCCCCACAACCUAUUUCCCUUUCAGUGGCUUGCUCCAGCCAAGGCCCCUUAUUUAAGAGAUCUUUGUGCGCUCUGAAAACCAUGCAUAUGCCAGAACUAGGUGCUCUGUUUCAUGAAGGCAGUUUGAUAACUGAAUGGACUUUGGAAGUGCCCAGUGUUUGACUAUUACCCUGGUGCGAUGAUCACACUGGGCGUAUCAUUGUCACAUGAUCCCAUGUUUGUUGAUGAAAAUAAACAGUGGUUUUCAAAAACCA
rnacentral:lncRNA from 1 species